rnacentral:lncRNA from 1 species
UUCCUUAAACUAAGUUAUUACAGCUAAUACUGUGGUUAAUGGUUUCUGGAAAGAUGCCGUCUAUCAGCACUGGAGUGUACACAUUUUGGCCCAAACACUGAGAAAUCGCAGGUUCCCUACCUGCUCGUUUGAGUUUGGCUGUGAAAAAAUACAUCAAAUCCUAACACCACACAAAUGUGGCUCUCUUCAGCCACACUUCAUCACGUGGUUUCAUCAGAUGGACUUAAUUUUCUGCAUGACAUUAUCUUUUCAAGCUGACAGGGUAAGAUUUUAUUUUUUUAACCCUCCACAAAUCAAAAUUCCUGGAGGAAAAAAAAAUGGGAACUCAAGGCUAUUUGUGGUUGUCCUUCUCUUUUCCAAACAUCAAGCUGCAUAGAAAAGUAUGGUUGUGAUUUGAAUGAGAAUGGCCCUCUCAAGUACAUACUUAGUCCUCACUGGAUGAAACUAUUUGGGAAGGAUUAACAGAGGCGACUGAGAAGUUGCACGUAGCUGCAGUAUGUGAGCUACUGAUAGGAUUCAGUGUGGUUCUGAAGGCCUGAACUAGAGGAGCUCGUGAUGUGGAUCACAGUCUGAGAGCAGAAGGAGGUUCCAGGAGAAGAGGAUUAGGUUAGUUUCCAGCUUCAGAGAGCUACAGUUCAUCAUGCAGUGGGAAAAAUCACAUCACAACAGGCAGGAAAGGCCUGGAGGCAAGAGCCGGAAGCCGGUUAAUCACAUAUCAUCCACACACAGGAAGUAGAGAAAGACUGAGCAGGAAGUGGAACCAGGCUUCAAAAUAUCAGAACCCAACCCCAAUGAUAUGCUUUCUUCAGCAAGGCGUCACAUCCUAAAUUGUGUAACUUUCCCAAACACUACAACCCUCAGGGGACUAAGUGUUUAAAGAAAUGAUGUAAGCAGGCUUUCCUAGACAUCUGUGUAUCUCCAUAUAUGCUCAAAGAUAAGCAUGUACAGAAGAAUUCAGUGAUGAAAAAUGAGUAUGAAUGUAUAGUGGCAUUCAAAUAUUGUUCCUGGGUGCUGCAUGAUAACCUUGGUUAUAUUGUCUUCAUUUCACAAGACUCUUGUGCAAUUCAAAUGCUCUGAUGCCCUAGUGGACAUUUAGCUAUCAGAAUUUUGCUUAGGAAAGCAGUUCCCACUGCUACACAUCAAGGCUGUGGUCUCCACUCCCUUCCCCUCCCCUCUUUCCCUUCCCCUCUGCAACUUCCCUCUGUUUUCCCUCUACUUUUAUCCUGUCUUCUCUUCUUCCCUUUCCCUGUCCAAGUCCUGGAUGGCAGAUGAGCUUUCCUCUCUCCUUCUCUGCUUCAUUAAGUAUGCUGGUGGCUCUGUGGGGCUGGGAUGAAGUCACAUGGUUAGGAUGCCAUCUCUAAUCCCAUUUUCCAUUUGUAUAUUGGAUUUUGUUAACCACUUUUUAAAUAAAAAUACAGCAUGAUUCUAAUGUACUCAGGAGUUCCAGGGAUAACCAUAUAAUUUCAAAAUGAUACUGAUUUUGUUUAUAUGCAGCAUAAUCUUUUACAGUCCCGCGUCUUUAUUUGAAGCAUUGCAAAGUGGAUUUUUAUGAAAGUAUUAUAAAGGACUCCUUGUUUCUCCAUAACAGAUCUGAACGUUAACUGAUCAGAGUUCAGAUAAAUAGUCUUUACUCUCCAUUAAAAUAUUAAAAAGCCUUUGGUAAGAAACUGGCAUAAAGAUCCUUCAUUCUUGUUUAAUGAACACUUGUUGGCAAGUAUAACACUUUAAUAGCUUCAUAGAAUGAAUUUUGUGUGUGCACCCUCCAUUUCCCUGUCAGACACUUGUCCAGGUGCUGAGAAUUUAUUGGAGGAAGCAUAUUUUUGCUCAUUAGUUUUGUAUUUGAUUACAGAAUAGUAAAAUAUGCACCACUGGGUCCCCGAGGCAUAGCUGUGUACACCGAGAUUAGUAAUUGCAUGUCAUCGUGUUCCAUUGGAAUUUAUACGGUCAGAUGGGAUAGGUGCUUCUUAAAGAGGUUUAAAAGCAAAACAAAUUUGUACUUAAUCUUUUUUUUUUUUCUGCAACUAUAGUCUUUCUAAUGGAGAAAAGCUCGGGUUGCGCCGUAUAUUUUUAAAUAGUUUUAAUUUUUUUCCUUUUCCAGUUUUCUUCACAAAUGAAGCCUAUCAGAUUUUCACGCUAACAACUAACAACUACUAAGAAAUCAAUGCCCAUAAGGAAGAUAUGACAUAAAACCUGUCAGCAGAGACCAGUUUUGCCCACAUUCCAGCACGCACAAUGACGGGGGAUGACGAUAGGUGCAGACAAGUCCUGCCAUUCCAGCAAGAAGCUUAAAGGCAAACUAGAAAUUACACAGGGAUCUUCAAGAGACACCCACCCCCACCCAAUCCAAUGUGUGGUUUUCAUAGCACACAGACGGUUUUGUCCCCUUAAACAAGUUACAGGCUUGCAAGCUGAGCUUGUGUUUUUUUAAAGUUAGGCCUGCCAUAAGAAAUUAUCAUUUUGUUGCUUUUGCUGUAUAACAAUAAAAAGGGAGCCGCAUGAAAUC